rnacentral:rRNA from 1 species
AUUGAACGCUGGCGGCAGGCUUAACACAUGCAAGUCGAGCGGGGGAGGUUGCUUCGGUAACUGACCUAGCGGCGGACGGGUGAGUAAUGCUUAGGAAUCUGCCUAUUAGUGGGGGACAACAUUCCGAAAGGAAUGCUAAUACCGCAUACGCCCUACGGGGGAAAGCAGGGGAUCUUCGGACCUUGCGCUAAUAGAUGAGCCUAAGUCGGAUUAGCUAGUUGGUGGGGUAAAGGCCUACCAAGGCGACGAUCUGUAGCGGGUCUGAGAGGAUGAUCCGCCACACGGGGACUGAGACACGGGCCAGACUCCUACGGGAGGCAGCAGUGGGGAAUAUUGGACAAUGGGCGAAAGCCUGAUCCAGCCAUGCCGCGUGUGUGAAGAAGGCCUUAGGGUUGUAAAGCACUUUCAGUGGGGAGAAAGGUCAUUCACCUAAUGCGUGAGGGAAUUGAUGUUACCCACAGAAGAAGCACCGGCUAACUCCGUGCCAGCCGCCGCGGUAAGAC